GAACAUGGGGUUUGCAGAUCGUGAAGAAUUCUUCAAAGUUUGCUGUCAAGGAUUCUAUGGGAGUUAGACUUGGUUCUUGAAACACAUGGUCAUUGAAGUUUUAUGAAAUUAACUAAAGGCUGAACAUCUUUCUGUCUGGCGUAAGAUGUUGAAGUAGCCAGGUCAGCUGUCCUUUCAUACUUCAUUAUUCAUCUAUGUGAGCCUGCACACCUUCCAGCAAAGUAAAAGAAUUAGAGAAAUUGAUCACCUGAUGAGAGAAAGCAUAAGCCAGUGCUCUUUCCCUUCUCGUAGCGGCCUCAAACUUGUUUAGCAGGCUAGCUUCAAUCUGUUCCUUCGACUGUAGACUGUCAUCCCAUUCCUCUCCAAUCUGUUACAACAUCAGUACACUCAUUCUCAGCACAAGGGACAGGGACUGAAGCACUAGAGCUUCUAUGUUAGUUCAUCAGAUAAGAAAUAUGUGGCAGGGAUCCUAAACCAGGCACUUACAUGAAAACAUUGCAUGCCCUGCUAAAUGUCCAGAUAUGUAGUCAUUUGGAAAUCUAAAAUUUAGAAUGCAUAGGGUUCCAACAAUUUGGCGUUCGUUUACCAUUUAAAGAAAAAAAUUUCUAUCCAGUACCACUAGUUCUGUUCACAGCACUUUAUGAAUAUCAGUCUGUAUUCAACAA